AAAAACUUAGUUAAUUAAUAACAUCAGCUUGUCAAACUGAAAUAAAUAAACUAUUAGUUUUUU
rnacentral:tRNA from 1 species